rnacentral:lncRNA from 1 species
CCACUCGGCCUUUGGCCGAGUGGUGAGAGCUGCUGCUCUCCAACUUGGAGAGCAGCAGUUCGAACCCCCACAAUGCAUUGUGGGGGUCUUCCUUCCUCAAGUAAAUUUGAGUGAAGGCAGUCUGCUUCCUUACCCAAGUGUGAGGAGUAGACAUCCCUCAAAUAUUUGAGAGGGUUAAAAUCUGGGCGGCGCUCCAUUAGUAUUGAUGUAUGUUGGUCCCAGUUAUAGUCUGAUUUGUAAAUAUCAGUUAUAUUCUCAUGUAAUAUGAGUUGUAAUUUGAGCAAUAGUCUCAUGUAAUAAAAAAAAAAA